GACGAACGCUGGCGGCGUGCUUAACACAUGCAAGUCGAACGGAAAGGCCCUGCUUUUGUGGGGUGCUCGAGUGGCGAACGGGUGCGUAACACGUGAGUAACCUGCCCUUGACUUUGGGAUAACUUCAGGAAACUGGGGCUAAUACCGGAUAGGAGCUCCUGCUGCAUGGUGGGGGUUGGAAAGUUUCGGCGGUUUGGGAUGGACUCGCGGCUUAUCAGCUUGUUGGUGGGGUAGUGGCUUACCAAGGCUUUGACGGGUAGCCGGCCUGAGAGGGUGACCGGCCACAUUGGGACUGAGAUACGGCCCAGACUCCUACGGGAGGCAGGAGUGGGGAAUAUUGCACAAUGGGCGGAAGCCUGAUGCAGCAACGCCGCGUGCGGGAUGACGGCCUUCGGGUUGUAAACCGCUUUCGCCUGUGACGAAGCGUGAGUGACGGUAAUGGGUAAAGAAGCACCGGCUAACUACGUG
rnacentral:rRNA from 1 species